ensembl:lncRNA
CUCUUUUCAAACAUAACGUGGCGUGGAAUAUGUACUUGUAAACAAAAAAUAGUCAUUUUCCAAUUGGCUCUGACAGAAACCUCAAAUGCUUAUUUAAAGUAAAGCAUAUCAUGUUCUCAAGUCUUCAUUUUGAAGAGCCGCUGCCACACUAUUGACAUCAUGUCAUUAAGGUCCAUGAGAUUGUAUUUAUUUUGGCUCAAGAAGGCAAAGCAUUGCAUCGAAGAUCGCUCUUAUUUCUUCCUUCUCUCUACAACCUCUUCUUCCUGUUUGGCAGCCGACCCGUUCGUCUAGAUCUGGAAGGGUUCCUGAAUCAAACAUGCGUCUUCAAUUUGGGCCUGUGAAGAAAACAAUCACAUUUUCCCCUCUUUCAGAUUCAGUUCCUGACAGCAGAUUGAGAUGUGGUCUCCACGAAGAAGUCUGGGUUUGACGGAAGAUUGGACUGUGUGUUUCAGGGGUCCUGAAUGUAAAUUGGGAUUAAAGGGAGAUGCUUGGCAGACUCGGGUAACCUGGUUCAAAACGUUGUAUAUUUUCGGCUGGUGGGAACAGAUUGAGGUAACGUGAGGUGGACCACCCAUGUCCUUUCUCUCCAAGAGAGCUCUACUACCAUUAAUUAGAGCCAUUCUCUGAGGUGGAUUCUGUGGCCAGGACACCUGUGAACUCAGAAGUGGGCUGUUGUACACACAAAACGGCCCCUGAUUCAUGUUUUGUGCACCAGUGCCCAAUAAAAAUCACUUCCAGCUCCUGCAGACACCCAGAAAUCCUCCACAUAUGUUUCUCCACAUCAGAAAAACUGUGCUGUUGACACGUUAUGGAGGCAUGAAUAUUUUAAAGGGAAAUAUCUCACAAAAGUGAAAACUUGCUGAAAUUUUACUGACCCUCAGGAUAUCCAAGAAGCAGAUGAGCUGAACAGAUUUGGAGAAAUUCAGCAUUACAUCACUUGCUCACCAAUGGAUGAAGUGAAUGGGUGCCGUCAGAAUGAGAGUCUAAAUAGCUGAUAAAAACAUCACAGUAAUCCACACCACUCUAGUCCAUCAGUUAACAUCUUGUGAAGUGAAAAUCUCUAUGUUUGUAAUAACAAAUCCAUCAAGACAUUUCUUCAAACCAAGUCCUUUAUCCAUAAUAUUUUAUUCUCCAGUGAAAAACUUGUACCGUCUGAAUCAGGAGAGAAAUAUGCAAGCACUGGUUACAAGUGAAAACAGUCCAAAACUGUUAAAAACAAAUAUGUGGUGAAUUUUGAUGUGAGAGGACAACGGGAGAUGGACUUUUUCACUAGAGGAAGUGUUAUUAUGGAUUAUGGACAGAAGGUUUAAAGUAAAAACGCAGUAAUAAUGAAUAUGUUUCUUAUAAACAUGCAGCUUUUCACUUCCGAAGACAUUAACUGAUGGACUGAAGAGGUGUGGAUUACUUGUGGAUUAAUGUGAUGUUUUUAUCAGCUGUUUGGACUCUCAUCCUGACGGCACCCAUUCACUGCAGAGGAUCCAUUGGUGGGCAAGUGAUGUAAUGCUGAAUUUCUCCUAAUUUGUUCUGAUGAAGAAACAAACUCAUCAAUAUCUUCAAUGGCCUGAGGGUUUCCAGGUCUUCGGGGUGACGCUGAUGAAACAUGAAAUAUUUUACUGGAAUCCAACUGGAUAUAAAUGGGGCUUCAAUCUCUCUCCGCAGUGGUCUGGGGCCUUUACAGGGACUUUGAGGUGUUUUGCCUCAUGUGGAUACCAAUAAAUCUGUCACCCGCAGAGAUUCGUCUCCCGCCCUCUGUGGGGAACAAAUUGUGGCGUUCAGGGAGGGUUGAGGGGGGGAGAAGUGACCUGUCAGAGCGCUCCAUUUAUCACAGGGACAAAACGCUCCCGAUUCUUUCUGCUGACCGCCAGGAACCUUCUGCUAAGCACAUUCAGGAGAUGCAUGCUUCUGAAUAUUUUCAUUGAAUCAAUACACCUAUUUGCAAGUGACGUCAAGACCUGAGGGUAGAAGGAAGUAGGGGAAUGAGACUAUUAUAUUUCAGAUGUAUUUUUCAGAUUUUAUUAAUCAUAAUGAGAAGUUGUAGGGCUUAAUUUUAAAAACCCAACAAAUUAAUUGAAAAGUGAAUUACAUAACCAGAUGAAUUUAAUAAAUAUUCUUAAAUGUGUACAUGUAUGUAUCACACGAUGUGUUCUUUCAGGAAAAACCGCAAUGUCAAACUUUUGCUGUUUUGUAACUUGUAAUUGUAACAUGCAAUUUAGAACUUAUUUAUUUUUUAAUACUUUCUUCCAUUUCACAUUUUUUAAUAAUUUGUAAAAAAAAAAAAAAAAAAAAAUUUGAACACACACAAAAAAAAAAAAUCUUAGUUCAAAAUAGCUUUUCUUUGGAUUGAGGUAUGCGAGUGAUUAAAAAUGUUGUGUGAAAUACUUUUUUGCACUACUGUGCAAAAGUUUAAGGUCAGUGAGAUUUUGUAAUUAUUUUAAAAGAAGUCUCUUUUGUUAAC